rnacentral:rRNA from 1 species
AUCAACGCUGGCGGCGCGCUUAACACAUGCAAGUCGAACGAAGAAAGGGGAGCAAUCCCUGAGUACAGUGGCGCACGGGUGAGUAACACGUGGAUGAUCUAUCUCUGAGUGGGGAAUAACCCUGGGAAACCGGGGAUAAUACCGCAUAAGCUCGAGAGAGGAAAGCAAGCAAUGCGCUGAGAGAGGAGUCCGCGGCCGAUUAGCUAGUUGGCAGGGUAAGAGCCUACCAAGGCAGAGAUCGGUAGCCGGCCUGAGAGGGCACACGGCCACACUGGCACUGAAACACGGGCCAGACUCCUACGGGAGGCAGCAGUGGGGAAUCUUGCACAAUGGGGGAAACCCUGAUGCAGCGACGCCGCGUGAGCGAUGAAGCCCUUCGGGUGUAAAGCUCUUUCGGCAGGGAAGAUAAUGACGGUACCUGCAGAAGCAGCUGCGGCAACUACGUGCCAGCAGCCGCGGUAAUACGUAGGCAGCGAGCGUUGUUCGGAGUUACUGGGCGUAAAGGGUGUGUAGGCGGUUGUUUAAGUUUGGUGUGAAAUCUCCCGGCUCAACCGGGAGGGGUGCGCCGAAUACUGAAUGACUUGGAGUGCGGGAGAGGAGAGUGGAAUUCCUGGUGUAGCGGUGAAAUGCGUAGAUAUCAGGGAGGAACACCGUGUGGUGUAGACUGCUCUCUGGACGUAACUGACGCUGAGACACGAAAGCGUGGGUAAGGCAAACAGGAUUAGAUACCCUGGUAGUCCUAGCCCUAAACGAUGAUCGCUUGGUGUGUUGGGUACCCAAUCCCAACGUGCCGCAGCUAACGCGUUAAGCGAUCCGCCUGGGGAGUACGGUCGCAAGGCUGAAACUCAAAGGAAUUGACGGGGGCCGCACAAGCGGUGGAGCAUGUGGUUCAAUUCGACGCAACGCGAAGAACCUUACCUGGGCUCGAAGCGCAGUGCACUGGAGUGGAAACACUCCUUCCCGCAAGGGGUGCUGCGUAGGUGCUGCAUGGCUGUCGUCAGCUCGUGUCGUGAGAUGUUGGGUUAAGUCCCGCAACGAGUGCAACCCUUAUUGCCAGUUACUAACGGGUCAUGCCGAGAACUCUGGCGAAACUGCCUCCGACAAGGGGGAGGAAGGUGGGGAUGACGUCAAGUCCUCAUGGCCUUUAUGUCCAGGGCUGCACACGUGCUACAAUCGCUGGUACAAACCGUCGCAAACCCGCGAGGGGGAGCUAAUCGGAAAAAGCCGGCGUCAGUUCGGAUUGGAGUCUGCAACCCGACUCCAUGAAGCUGGAAUCGCUAGUAAUCGCGGAUCAGAACGCCGCGGUGAAUACGUUCCCGGGCCUUGUACACACCGCCCGUCACAUCACGAAAGUGGGCGAUACUAGAAGUCGGUGCGCCAACCCCGCAAGGGAGGCAGCUGCCCAAGGUAUGGCUCAUGAUUGGGGUG